CCUAUGGGGCGCAGCAGGCGCGAAACCUUCCCAAUUCGCGAAAGCCCGAUGAGGGGGUCCCCGAGUUCCCUCCUUCGCCUCGGCUUUUCCGGAGUGUAAAAAGCUCCGAGAAUAAGGGCUGGGCAAGACCGGUGCCAGCAGCCGCGGUAA
rnacentral:rRNA from 1 species